rnacentral:rRNA from 1 species
UACAGAGGUCCCAAGCGUUGUUCGGAUUCACUGGGCGUAAAGGGUGCGUAGGUGGUUAGGUAAGUCUGAUGUGAAAUCUCUGGGCUCAACCCAGAAACUGCAUUGGAUACUAUCUAGCUAGAGGAGUGGAGGGGGGACUGGAAUACUUGGUGUAGCAGUGAAAUGCGUAGAUAUCAAGUGGAACACCAGUGGCGAAGGCGAGUCCCUGGACACCUCCUGACACUGAGGCACGAAAGCUAGGGGAGCAAACAGG